AAGAGACAGCAGCAGCCGCGGAAAUACGUAGGUGGCAAGCGUUGUCCGGAAUUAUUGGGCGUAAAGGGCUCGCAGGCGGUUUCUUAAGUCUGAUGUGAAAGCCCCCGGCUCAACCGGGGAGGGUCAUUGGAAACUGGGAAACUUGAGUGCAGAAGAGGAGAGUGGAAUUCCACGUGUAGCGGUGAAAUGCGUAGAGAUGUGGAGGAACACCAGUGGCGAAGGCGACUCUCUGGUCUGUAACUGACGCUGAGGAGCGAAAGCGUGGGGAGCGAACAGGAUUAGAUACCCCGUAGUCCCUGUCUCUUAUACA
rnacentral:rRNA from 1 species